ACCUUUGUAGUUCAGUCAGUAGGACAGGAGGCUCUUGUUGUCACAGUCAUGGGUUCAAGCCCCAUGUUGGGCA